GGGGCAGCGCUGAGGUGGCAACACCCUGGCGGCGACCGGCGGAAGGGUGCGUAACACGUGAGCAACUUGCCCGUAUCCGGGACAUAACCGGCGGAAACGCCGACUAAUUUCCCAUAACAGCGUGGGCCGCAUGGCCCUCGUUUGAAAGACACGUCGGAUGCGGAUAGGCUCGCGGGACAUUAGCUGGUUGGAGUGGUAACGGCACACCAAGGCUACGAUGUCUAGGGGUUCUGAGAGGAAGGUCCCCCACACUGGAACUGAGACACGGUCCAGACUCCUACGGGAGGCAGCAGUGAGGAAUAUUGGUCAAUGGGCGGAAGCCUGAACCAGCCAUGCCGCGUGAAGGAAUGAGGCCCUACGGGUCGUGAACUUCUUUUGUGGCGGAGCAAUAAGGGCCACGUGUGGUCCGACGAGAGUACGUCACGAAUAAGCACCGGCUAACUCCGUGCCAGCAGCCGCGGUAAUACGGAGGGUGCAAGCGUUAUCCGGAUUUAUUGGGUUUAAAGGGUGCGUAGGCUGUCCGACAAGUCAGGGGUGAAAGCCCGGCGCCCAACGCCGGAACCGCCCUUGAUACUGCCGGGCUGGAAUGCGGAUGCCGUGGGAGGAAUGAGUAGUGUAGCGGUGAAAUGCAUAGAUAUUACUCAGAACACCGAUUGCGAAGGCAUCUCACGAAUCCGCCAUUGACGCUGAGGCACGAAAGCGUGGGUAGCGAACAGGAUUAGAUACCCUGGUAGUCCACGCAGUAAACGAUGAUGACUAACCGUCGGCGAUACACUGCCGGUGGCCAAGCGAAAGCGAUAAGUCAUCCACCUGGGGAGUACGUUCGCAAGAAUGAAACUCAAAGGAAUUGACGGGGGCCCGCACAAGCGGAGGAACAUGUGGUUUAAUUCGAUGAUACGCGAGGAACCUUACCCGGGCUCGAACGGCAGCUGAACGAGGCGGAGACGCCGAGGCCCUCCGGGGCGGCUGUCGAGGUGCUGCAUGGUUGUCGUCAGCUCGUGUCGUGAGAUGUUGGCUUAAGUGCCAUAACGAGCGCAACCCUUGCCGCCAGUUACCAUCAAGUGAAGUUGGGGACU
rnacentral:rRNA from 1 species